GCUAAAUAUGCAAACAGAUAUUGCACAUUGUACUUCACAUCGAGCCAAACGAUAGAAUUUAUGCUCUUCAAUGGAGCCAUCAGGUAGUUAAACGGUCAAUAAUCUCAAAAUCCCCAUUGAAGAUAUAAAAAACAACUACAGAGCGAAGAAAACUACAAUAGACUAAAUAGCGUCAAAAGUGAAUAACAGCCAUCAAACAAUGUUCUCAUAAAA
rnacentral:misc_RNA from 1 species